rnacentral:rRNA from 1 species
AGCGAACGCUGGCGGCGGGCUUAAUACAUGCAAGUCGAGCGCCUGUAGCAAUACAGGAGCGGCAGACGGGAGAGUAACACGUGGGAACGUGCCCUUUGGUUCGGAACAACACAGGGAAACUUGUGCUAAUACCGGAUAAGCCCUUACGGGGAGAGAUUUAUCGCCAAAGGAUCGGCCCGCGUCUGAUUAGCUAGUUGGUGGGGUAAUGGCCCACCAAGGCGACGAUCAGAGCUGGUCUGAGAGGAUGAUCAGCCUCAUUGGGACUGAGACACGGCCCAAACUCCUACGGGAGCAGCAGUAGGGAAUAUUGGACAAUGGGCGCAAGCCUGAUCCAGCCAUGCCGCGUGAGUGAUGAA